UGCCCAGCAGGCACACCACAGCACUGCUCUUGACAGUGGUAGAUAAAACUAAUGCAUCCCCACAACUUCACACGAUCCCAACAUGUACGAUUUGGAGAAGGUGUGGAAGCUAUUGUAUCUGGGUGUUACUCAUCUUAGGCUUUCUGUGGGAGAACCUGACUUCACAGUCCACGGUUUCAAACAGCAACUGUAAAUCAUUUGACACAACUGUGUUAAGCAAUACUCAUUUGCCAACGUGGAUCAAGCUUCUAGUCUGAUUCCUAGGAGCUACCAUAUCAUCUGAGUUUCUCCAAUGAGUUCAAAGAUCUCAUCGGGAGAUCAAAGAGAAAAAGACACUGCAAUUGAAGUCAGCAUGCGCUUGAUCAGCUUUCUUCAUCAGAAGUACUCAUCUAAGGUGUAGCCCAUGACAUGCGAGGAAUAAAAGAAUGGCUGCCACCAAGACAUCAACCCA